rnacentral:rRNA from 1 species
AAUAUUGCACAAUGGGCGCAAGCCUGAUGCAGCCAUGCCGCGUGUAUGAAGAAGGCCUUCGGGUUGUAAAGUACUUUCAGCAGUGAGGAAGGUGGAUUAUGUUAAUAGCAUAUUCAUUUGACGUUAGCUGCAGAAGAAGCACCGGCUAACUCCGUGCCAGCAGCCGCGGUAAUACGGAGGGUGCGAGCGUUAAUCGGAAUUACUGGGCGUAAAGCGCAUGCAGGUGGUUUGUUAAGUCAGAUGUGAAAGACCCGGGGCUCAACCUCGGAAAUUGCAUUUUGAAAACUGGCAAACUAGAGUACUGUAGAGGGGGUAGGAAUUUCAGGUGUAGCGGUGAAAUGCGUAGAGAUCUGAAGGAAUACCGGUGGCGAAGGCGGCCCCCUGGACAGAUACUGACACUCAGAUGCGAAAGCGUGGGGAGCAAACAGGAUUAGAUACCCCUGGUAG